AUUGAUCCGUAGAUAUCCGAAUGGGGCAACCCAGUACCAUGAAGUGGUAUUACCCUACGGGGGGCAAACGCGGGGAACUGAAACAUCUAAGUACCCGCAGGAGAAGAAAACAAUAGUGAUUCCGCAAGUAGUGGCGAGCGAACGCGGACAAGCCCAAACCAGCCUGGUUACGGCCAGACUGGGGUUGUAGGACUCACCUAGUGGUUAUCAAUUGAACUGGAAUGACGUGGGAAAGUCAAUCGUAGAGGGUGAGAAUCCCGUACAGGUAAGAGCGAUAAUUGAGUGAGUAUCCUGAGUAAGUGGGGACCGGAGAAAUCCCCUCUGAAUCCGGCGGCACCAUCCGCCAAGGCUAAAUACUCCUGAGAGACCGAUAGUGAACUAGUACCGUGAGGGAAAGGUGAAAAGUACCGCGAGCAGCGGGGUGAAAUAGAACUUGAAACCAUGCGCUUACAAGCGGACGGAGCCUACGGGUGACGUCGUGCCUUUUGCAUAAUGAGCCUACGAGUUACGGUUACUGGCAAGGUUAAUGU
rnacentral:rRNA from 1 species